AGCCGGAAAGCUCAGUGGUAGAG
rnacentral:tRNA from 1 species